GGUAUCGCAGUAGACCCCACUAAAGUUGUCACUGUGACAAACUGGGAAGCACCAGCAACAGUUGGAGAAAUCCGGAGUUUCCUUGGACUCGCAGGAUACUACCGGAGAUUUAUUGAAAAUUUCUCGAAGAUUGCGAAGCCUAUGACAGAGUUGUUGAAGAAGGAUACUAAGUUCAUUUGGACUGAGGAGUGUGAGGCUAGUUUCCAGGAAUUGAAGAAACGUUUGGUUACCUCACCAGUGUUAAUUCUGCCAGAUCAGACUAAGGAUUAUGAAGUGUAUUGCGACGCUUCACGUCGAGGACUU
rnacentral:rRNA from 1 species